UGGGGAAUUUUGGACAAUGGGCGCAAGCCUGAUCCAGCCAUGCCGCGUGCGGGAAGAAGGCCUUCGGGUUGUAAACCGCUUUUGUCAGGGAAGAAAUCUUCUGAGUUAAUACCUCGGGAGGAUGACGGUACCUGAAGAAUAAGCACCGGCUAACUACGUGCCAGCAGCCGCGGUAAUACGUAGGGUGCAAGCGUUAAUCGGAAUUACUGGGCGUAAAGCGUGCGCAGGCGGUUUUGUAAGACAGAGGUGAAAUCCCCGGGCUCAACCUGGGAACUGCCUUUGUGACUGCAAGGCUUGAGUGCGGCAGAGGGGGGAUGGAAUUCCGCGUGUAGCAGUGAAAUGCGUAGAUAUGCGGAGGAACACCGAUGGCGAAGGCAAUCCCCUGGGCCUGCACUGACGCUCAUGCACGAAAGCGUGGGGAGCAAACAGGAUUAGAUAGCCCUGGUAGUCCACGCCCUAAAACGAUGUCAACUGGUUGUUGGGAAGGUUCCUUCUCAGUAACGUAGCUAACGCGUGAA
rnacentral:rRNA from 1 species